rnacentral:rRNA from 1 species
GAUGAACGCUGGCGGCGUGCCUAAUACAUGCAAGUCGAGCGAACAGACGAGGAGCUUGCUCCUCUGACGUUAGCGGCGGACGGGUGAGUAACACGUGGAUAACCUACCUAUAAGACUGGGAUAACUUCGGGAAACCGGAGCUAAUACCGGAUAAUAUAUUGAACCGCAUGGUUCAAUAGUGAAAGACGGUUUUGCUGUCACUUAUAGAUGGAUCCGCGCCGCAUUAGCUAGUUGGUAAGGUAACGGCUUACCAAGGCAACGAUGCGUAGCCGACCUGAGAGGGUGAUCGGCCACACUGGAACUGAGACACGGUCCAGACUCCUACGGGAGGCAGCAGUAGGGAAUCUUCCGCAAGGGGCGAAAGCCUGACGGAGCAACGCCGCGUGAGUGAUGAAGGUCUUCGGAUCGUAAAACUCUGUUAUGAGGGAAGAACAAAUGUGUAAGUAACUAUGCACGUCUUGACGGUACCUAAGCAGAAAGCCACGGCUAACUACGU